GGAGAUUAGAACUUAGAAGUUUAGCAACUUUCAGCCUUAACAGAAAAUGAUGAAGCAUCUGGUAUUUUUGCUGCUUUUUGGCUUAAUUGUUUCAACGUAUGCUAUAAAUGUAGAGGAGUAUAUAGAACAUUUCGCUGCAGUGGGUUGUUCAAGAAAAGUCGAUUCAACAGGAUCGAACUUCUUGAUAAAAGUUUGCGGAUCAUGCCUGCGUUACACCACCAAAGUAGUGAAAAUUGAUCAAGGAUUGUGUGGAAAUGUUCACGGCUAAUUCCUGAAGAUUUAAAUCGACAUCUGCAAGGAAUGCAAAAAAAAAAGGUGGAAGCAGAGUGUCUUGAAACAGUUUGAUUCUCAGAAGAUAGGUGUAUUAAUUAUUUUACAUGUUCCAAAAUUUUGAAAUGGCAAUUAUUUUUAGUGAUA